AUGAGUUUUUAAGUGUAAAUGAAAUGAGACUGACAUCAGGCAUAACAAAUUAUGUAUUUCUAAAAAUGAUAGCUCAACAAGCAUCCAAAUGUUCAAUGAAGCACCCAGAAGAGCUUCUGGCUCUAACUGCUUUCCUCAUUGCAAAUACAAUUAUGCCAUAAUAUGCAACUAUUACCUCUUUCCUUGCAUGUAAGUCUCAGCAUUUGUAUUUAGAGAAGGCUCACUUAAAGUCUUUGACAUAAAACUUUCUUAUGAAUAAAAAAAAUGAUUCUACUAACUGGUAUAAGGGCAUGCAUUUUGAAUUGCAUCUCUUUGGAUGGAACCCCAAGUUUGUGUCCUUUCUUGUCAAGUUUAUUCAGAAACGAGUGGCGUGGUUUCACGUUUGCUGUUUAAAACUACAGUGCCCUUGCCACUGUGGUGAAAUGUUUGCCUCCACAUGAAGCAAUCACACUUCCAGUGAACCUGAAAUCUGGGUCUCAGUACUUACAGUUUCAAGAAAGCCACACUGUCCUCAUGUGUAAAAAAGAUGCAAAGAUAAUCCAUGGAUUUUUGUUUAAAGAAAUAGUGUGCUUAAGAAUGUUUUUAAAUGCUGAGGUUGUUAUCCUCAGAAAUACAUCUUGUGACAUUUUAAUUCUCUCUAUUUGACAAAUUUGUAACAGCAUUGCUUGAGGAACUUAACAAGACUCAAAGUAAUUAUUCUCAUCCAUCUCACUGAAGAUAUAUAAAUCUUACAUUAAAGAUUUUGCAAGUUAUGAAAAUAUAUUGUCCCUAUAAAGUACAUUUAGCAUCAGAAGGAUUCAGAUGAGGCUUUGGAAUAAUAAUGGAGAAAACCAAGUGGUUUAAAUUAGAGCUCAACAAUAGUGCCCAGCAAAUCAUUUUGCUGGUCUUCAGCUCCACGUUUAUGUCUCUUCCAUAAGUAGAUUAUGCUAAUAGGUGCCAAGAGAUUCAUAUCUCCGGCAGGCUGAGAACGUCUGUGGUUACUUUAAAUUCUCUUUCUCUCAAAGGGCAGACAUCAUAACCUGAAGUAUUUUCAUUAUGGUUCACUUAACAAAGACGAUGUGUGGCAGGUAGACUGCCUAUCAAUAAUCUUCAGUGAGUAUUCACUUUGGACAAGCUUUGUAAUGUGGGUUUGGAGCAGAAAGGCAAAUAAAAGAAGACAUUAUCUUUCUUCUUAGAUGCUUGAAGUAAAAAAUCACAUGUGCAUUCCCACUCUCCUUCCCCUAGCAAUGCAUGAGGAAUAGAAUAAAUUCUCAUGGGGUCAAAUCCCACUAACUGUAACUUAUUCUUGAAACACACACUAGAUCCUAUGGCUGUACCUCCACAUGUUCUGAAGAAACUAUAUAUGCAAAGCAUAUACACAAACCAAUACGCAAACACAAAAAUAGCCAAAAAUCCACUUUUAUAAAAGGAUAUUUAACUUCUUGCCAGCAUUAUUUUCUCUGAUCUCAUUUUUUUUCACUGAUAAGAUUUGAAUAACAAGAGUACUGAUAUUAUACAUGAUAUGUAAGUAUUAAGGAGAUAAAGUACAAAGAUGAUAGCAUACAAUCAGCAUUCAAUAAAUAAUAGUUAUCAAUAGUAGGAAUAGUAUGAAUUCAGCAGCAGCCCUAUUUAUGAACUCAUGAACUAGAAUUGAGAAACUUUUGUAAGCCAGAUACUGCAUUAAAGUGCUGGCAAAAUGAAGAUAAACCACACAUUCUAUACCCUCAAUCGUUUCUCAGGUUUUUGUGAAACACAGUCAUUCACACACACACACACACACACACACCCCCUCAAACACACAAACGCACACAAAAAUACAGUAUGACAAAUGCUCUGAUUACAUUUU
rnacentral:lncRNA from 1 species